AUAUUACGAGCAUCCUGAAACUAGGGCUUAUUUUCAGGUUAGGUUUAUUUUCAGGAAAAUGGUAUAUUUUUUCUGUUAUCGAUUGAUGUUAUGAUGAGAACACGACCAACAGGCUGCAAUUAAUUUAAGAGCUCUAUUCCUUUCGUCCCCAUAGAAAAAGGCCUGUUGAGAGCGCAGAAGAUAAGGGCCCAUUAUGUCCCAGGGCUUGGGCUUAUUGUGGUUUAUAGGUUGCCAGGGAAACACUCUCCGCUACCAUUCUCUCUCCCUCCCUGCCACGAGACCCUCACGCUGCUCUUUCAGCUGCCACUCCUUUGUUGCCACGGGCGCUGGAGCAGAAAGAGAAUGGAAGUGUUGUUUCUGAUUGGGCCUUGACGAGACUCGCUCAUUAGCAUAUGAGGACGGAGUCUGACAAGCAGAACGCCAGCCGAUUGGCUGAGACUGGAGGAAAUGGUGGGAUGGAGCCGAAAGUUGGGUGCCUGCCAAUGGUGUUGAAUGAGUUUGCGUCCUAACAAGCGAGUUGUUUCAGGCUCAAGUCUGGUGGAUAUCCUUCGGCUUUCACGAUUGGGGCGCCAGUUGUGGGUCUAAUCCGUCACUUUGUACAGACUCUUCAGGCAUUUCUUAAUUCCGCGGCAACACCGCCAUUGGCAUGACAAGCCUGCAUUCAGGAGGGCUGAGGCAUAUAUGAGUCAGCGCCCAUGCGAAGUAUCCGCCAUUCCAGCAUCCUUCAUUGGGCGAAGAAACGGCCAAGGGCGCUCGAAUCUUCUGGCGCGGGAAAUAAAACUUCCAGCCUUCUGUUUCUGUAAAAAAUAAAAAAUAAAUUCCCGCGACUCAGCUCUUUUGCUCUAUUUUAAGAUAAUUCCUUCUGACAGAUGCCAGAGCUUUCUGGUUCUGGCGUGUUUCCGCAGCGACUUGCACAGAAUGUGGGAUGCCGGUUUCAGUGAUCUGUUUAAUAUCCCCUCCCUGAGCCACGCUGGGUUGCCUCCUGGUGGGAGGGAGGGAGGUCGGCGGAGGCGACGAAUCUCGUCCUUUUACCACAAAGCUCCCUCAGGCUUUUCGUACUAACACACGCGUGGCUUUUCCCUUCGAGUUACGUAUACACAGAAGUCCUAAAGGAGAAGUUCAGCAACCUCAUAAUACCCAAUCCGUGUCUGCUUUGCUGAUCAACUCGUUUCACUGCCACCCGAGAGAUCGACUUUUUGCAAUCCUGAGGGGCUGGGCUCAAAACCCGAAGCGAAGCCACGCCAGCUCGUGCCUUCCUCGGGCUGGCUUCGACAACCUCCCACCGGCUGGCACCAAAGAGUGUAGUUGCCGGGUACCCGCACUGCCUGCCUGCCUGCCUCCCUCGUCCUGGUCACCCCUUCGGUGGGUGUUGGGAGAGAAGGCGGAGCCGCCUUCUGAGUCCCUCAUAGUAGGGACCGGUGUUACUUGUGGUCAUUCAAAGAGAGAGACGCCUUUUCAAAAAUUCCUCCUCCUCCUCCUCCUCCUCCUCCCCGCUUCUCUGCAAGGGGGUGGCCCUUGGAGACACCUUCUUUUAACUUACACACUAUAAAUACGGCUCCUAGUAUGGGAGCCGAGCUAGAGUCUGCGGCAGGACACGAGGAGGUUCGCCAAGGAAGCAGCGAGCCAAACCUCGAAGCCCCUGACACUCCUCCUCGCCGCACCGGCUGCCUCGUCGUCGUUCGGAGCCUGCCGCUGAGAAGAAAAGGAGAGGAAAAGCUGUGGGGAAUUACGCCUUAGCGCCCCUUCCCGGGGUGGUGGAGAUUAUUCAGAGUAGGAGAGGAAAGAGAGCCGGCUGGCUUGGUUGCCAUUCGUGCCGGCUUGACGCCUGAUUUCG